UACGGGGGGGCAAGCGUUGUUCGGAAUUACUGGGCGUAAAGGGCGCGUAGGCGGCCUUCUAAGUCGAACGUGAAAUCCCUGGGCUCAACCCAGGAACUGCGUCCGAGACUGGGAGGCUUGAAUCCGGGAGAGGGAUGCGGAAUUCCAGGUGUAGCGGUGAAAUGCGUAGAUAUCUGGAGGAAUACCGAUGGCGAAGGCAGCCCCCUGGGAUAACACUGACGCUCAUGCACGAAAGCGUGGGGAGCAAACAGG
rnacentral:rRNA from 1 species